AAGGAAUAUUUGUCAAUGGAGGCAACUCUGAACCAGCCAUGCCGCGUGAAGGAUGAAGGUCCUCUGGAUUGUAAACUUCUUUUAUAUGGGAAGAAAUGCAUCCUUUCUAGGGUGUUUGACGGUACCAUAGGAAUAAGCACCGGCUAACUCCGUGCCAGCAGCCGCGGUAAUACGGAGGGUGCAAGCGUUAUCCGGAUUCACUGGGUUUAAAGGGUGCGUAGGCGGAAUUGUAAGUCCGUGGUGAAAUCUCCGAGCUUAACUCGGAAACUGCCGUGGAUACUAUAGUUCUUGAAUACUGUGGAGGUUAGCGGAAUAUGUCAUGUAGCGGUGAAAUGCAUAGAUAUGACAUAGAACACCGAUUGCGAAGGAGCUGGCUACACAGAGAUUGACGCUGAGGCACGAAAGCGUGGGGAUCAAACAGGAUUAGAUACCCCGGGUA
rnacentral:rRNA from 1 species